rnacentral:rRNA from 1 species
ACUCAAAGGAAUAGACGGGGGCCCGCACAAGCGGUGGAGCAUGUGGUUUAAUUCGAAGCAACGCGAAGAACCUUACCAAGGCUUGACAUGGGGACGAAGGGUGUAGAGAUAUACUUUCCCUUCGGGGCGUCCCACACAGGUGGUGCAUGGUUGUCGUCAGCUCGUGUCGUGAGAUGUUGGGUUAAGUCCCGCAACGAGCGCAACCCUUAUUCUUAGUAGCCAGCAUUUAGGAUGGGCACACUAGGGAGACUGCCGUGGAUAACACGGAGGAAGGUGGGGACGACGUCAAAUCAUCAUGCCCCUUAUGUCUUGGGCGACACACGUGCUACAAUGGCUCAUACAGAGUGAAGCAAUACGGUGACGUGGAGCAAAUCACAAAAAUGGGUCUCAGUUCGGAUUGUAGGCUGCAACCCGCCUACAUGAAGUUGGAAUCGCUAGUAAUCGCAAAUCAGCAUGUUGCGGUGAAUACGUUCCCGGGCCUUGCACACACCGCCCGU